rnacentral:lncRNA from 10 species
GGUGGGAGUGUGGGAUGGGCAGAAAGCUGGAGGGAGCCCUGGACCGACUGCAUUCCACAGAGGAUUGUGGGUGCAACGUAGGUGGCAGAUUGAGAAAAGCAAACAAACAAGCUCAGCCUUUGGAGCUUCGGGGAAGAAAAAAAGCUGAGCAGUGAAUGCUGGCUUCCCACGGAGAAGGCAGGCUGCUUCGCCAGCUCACAUCCUUCCGCGCACCCACUUCCUCUUUCCGGAGGUCACUUUAGAUUGCUUUAUGGCAGGAUCUCCAGGUCACAGGAAUGUUAUGUUUCGACUGGGGUUUCCCCCUCCCCUGGGAUGCCUGGGCCAGCUCCCCAAGGGCUAGUCUCUGUCCCAGGCCCCACACUCCCAUAGCACUCAGCAAAAGCCUAGAGAGAGCACCGCAAAAUGCCAAACGCAACAGGACCGCGUAGGAAGAAGACGCUUGGAAUGACAGGGACACUAGAACUGCCCAUGGUCGUGGUCUCAAAUUUUUGUUCCAUGGUCUGAAAUACUAAAAGUUCUUAAACAGCUACUUGAUUUCAUACUAUUGUUUUGAAGAAAACAGUGUUUGUUUGUUGUUUUGUUUGUUUGUUUGUUUGAGACAGAGUUUUGCUCUUGUUGCCGAGUUUGGUCCAUGUUGGUCAGGCUGGUCUCGAACUCCUGACAUCAGGUAAUCCACCCAC